rnacentral:rRNA from 1 species
UACGUAGGGGGCAAGCGUUGUCCGGAUUUACUGGGCGUAAAGAGCGUGUAGGCGGCCACGCAGGUCCGUUGUGAAAACUGGAGGCUCAACCUCCAGCUGUCGACGGAAACCGUGUGGCUAGAGUCCGGAAGAGGAGAGUGGAAUUCCUGGUGUAGCGGUGAAAUGCGCAGAUAUCAGGAGGAACACCAAUUGCGAAGGCAGCUCGCUGGGACGUUACUGACGCUGAGACGCGAAAGCGUGGGGAGCAAACAGG